AACGAACGCUGGCGGCAGGCCUAACACAUGCAAGUCGAACGCUCGUAGCAAUACGAGAGUGGCAGACGGGUGAGUAACACGUGGGAACCUUCCCUAUGGUUCGGAAUAGCCCAGGGAAACUUGGGGUAAUACCGGAUAAGCCCUUCGGGGGAAGAUUUAUCGCCAUUGGAUGGGCCCGCGUCGGAUUAGCUAGUUGGUGGGGUAACGGCCUACCAAGGCGACGAUCCGUAGCUGGUCUGAGAGGAUGAUCAGCCACACUGGGACUGAGACACGGCCCAGACUCCUACGGGAGGCAGCAGUGGGGAAUAUUGGACAAGUGGGCGCAAGCCUGAUCCAGCCAUGCCGCGUGAGUGACGAAGGCCUUAGGGUUGUAAAGCUCUUUGG
rnacentral:rRNA from 1 species